rnacentral:rRNA from 1 species
CCUACGGGAGGCAGCAGUGGGGGAUAUUGCACAAUGGGGGGAACCCUGAUGCAGCGACGCCGCGUGGGUGAAGAAGCGCCUCGGCGCGUAAAGCCCUGUCAGCAGGGAAGAAAAUGCCGGUACCUGAAGAAGAAGCCCCUGCUAACUACGUGCCAGCAGCCGCGGUAAUACGUCGGGGACAAGCGUUAUCCGGAUUUACUGGGGGGAAAGGGGGCGCAGACGGCGAUGCAAGCCAGGAGUGAAAGCCCGGGGCCCAACCCCGGGACUGCUCUUGGAACUGCGUGGCUGGAGUGCAGGAGGGGCAGGCGGAAUUCCUGGUGUAGCGGUGAAAUGCGUAGAUAUCAGGAGGAACACCGGUGGCGAAGGCGGCCUGCUGGACUGCAACUGACGUUGAGGCCCGAAAGCGUGGGGAGCAAACAGGAUUAGAUACCCCAGUAGUC